CAUGGUCUUCUGGGAAAGCUUUCGCGGUAUGGGAUGGGGUCGCGUCCUAUCAGCUUGACGGCGGGGUAACGGCCCACCGUGGCUUCGACGGGUAGCCGGCCUGAGAGGGCGACCGGCCACAUUGGGACUGAGAUACGGCCCAGACUCCUACGGGAGGCAGCAGUGGGGAAUAUUGCACAAUGGGCGCAAGCCUGAUGCAGCGACGCCGCGUGAGGGAUGGAGGCCUUCGGGUUGUAAACCUCUUUUAUCGGGGAGCGAGCGAGAGUGAGUUUACCCGUUGAAUAAGCACCGGCUAACUACGUGCCAGCAGCCGCGGUAAUACGUAGGGUGCAAGCGUUAUCCGGAAUUAUUGGGCGUAAAGGGCUCGUAGGCGGUUCGUCGCGUCCGGUGUGAAAGUCCAUCGCUUAACGGUGGAUCCGCGCCGGGUACGGGCGGG
rnacentral:rRNA from 1 species